rnacentral:lncRNA from 1 species
CCCGGGUGCUGAUUCAGCUGGAAUGGAAGCAUCCAUUUCCUAAGCAGUCAGCCAGAGUUGAGCUUAAGGAGGCAAUACCCUUCUGGAUGGCCGUGAGUACCACAAGGGUAAAUAACCGACAUGGAUUUCAGGACAGUCUUACUUCACAUAGCAGACAUGUCCACUGGGCUCACAUUGGAUGGAGGAAAAUCUCGAUCUGUUUAAAGGAAGCUACAGGAAGCCAGCUGGCAAGAUGAGUGUUGUAAUGUGAGCAAACAUCCCUUAGCCAUCCAGCAGGUAUGAAGUUGUGUUGGUUUGGUUUGCUUAAAUUGGGAGCCACAUCUGAGAAGAAAAUCCAUUGUUCAGAAAGGACGCACCAUUGUAAAGAAUAUCAUGUGGACAAAGUUUUGGUGCUUUUUAGGAAGCAGUUUAGUGCUCUGGCUAAAUGAGGAUUAAGCAGAAAAGACUUUUUGUUUCAACUCCUGUUGCUGGAAAUCUCUCCAAAGAGUUCCCAUUCAAUCUCCUGCCUGGGUAC